AGCUAUUACAGCUCUUUUAGGAUCUUUCUAGCAGGUUUUUCUGACUUUGGUCAAACAACCCAU
ensembl:snRNA U7 U7 small nuclear RNA